rnacentral:rRNA from 1 species
AUUGAACGCUGGCGGCAGGCCUAACACAUGCAAGUCGAGCGGUAACAGGGGUAGCUUGCUACCCGCUGACGAGCGGCGGACGGGUGAGUAAUGCAUAGGAAUCUGCCCGAUAGUGGGGGAUAACCUGGGGAAACCCAGGCUAAUACCGCAUACGUCCUACGGGAGAAAGGGGGCUCCGGCUCCCGCUAUCGGAUGAGCCUAUGUCGGAUUAGCUGGUUGGUGAGGUAACGGCUCACCAAGGCGACGAUCCGUAGCUGGUCUGAGAGGAUGAUCAGCCACAUCGGGACUGAGACACGGCCCGAACUCCUACGGGAGGCAGCAGUGGGGAAUAUUGGACAAUGGGGGGAACCCUGAUCCAGCCAUGCCGCGUGUGUGAAGAAGGCCCUCGGGUUGUAAAGCACUUUCAGUGAGGAAGAACGCCUGGUGGUUAAUACCCAUCAGGAAAGACAUCACUCACAGAAGAAGCACCGGCUAACUCCGUGCCAGCAGCCGCGGUAAUACGGAGGGUGCGAGCGUUAAUCGGAAUUACUGGGCGUAAAGCGCGCGUAGGUGGCUUGAUAAGCCGGUUGUGAAAGCCCCGGGCUCAACCUGGGAACGGCAUCCGGAACUGUCAGGCUAGAGUGCAGGAGAGGAAGGUAGAAUUCCCGGUGUAGCGGUGAAAUGCGUAGAGAUCGGGAGGAAUACCAGUGGCGAAGGCGGCCUUCUGGACUGACACUGACACUGAGGUGCGAAAGCGUGGGUAGCAAACAGG